AUACGGAGGGUGCAAGCGUUACUCGGAAUCACUGGGCGUAAAGCGCGCGCAGGCGGGCUUUUAAGUUGGAUGUGAAAGCCUACGGCUCAACCGUAGAACUGCAUCCAAAACUAUUAGACUAGAGUGUGGGAGAGGAAGAUGGAAUUAGUUGUGUAGGGGUAAAAUCCGUAGAGAUAACUAGGAAUACCAAAAGCGAAGGCAAUCUUCUGGAACACUACUGACGCUGAGGCGCGAAAGCGUGGGGAGCAAACAGGAUUAGAUACCCUAGUAGUCC
rnacentral:rRNA from 1 species